AUUGAACGCUGGCGGCAGGCCUAACACAUGCAAGUCGAGCGGUAGAGCGAAGCUUGCUUCUCUUGAGAGCGGCGGACGGGUGAGUAAUGCCUAGGAAUCUGCCUGGUAGUGGGGGAUAACGUUCGGAAACGGACGCUAAUACCGCAUACGUCCUACGGGCGAAAGCAGGGGACCUUCGGGCCUUGCGCUAUCAGAUGAGCCUAGGUCGGAUUAGCUAGUUGGUGGGGUAAUGGCUCACCAAGGCGACGAUCCGUAACUGGUCUGAGAGGAUGAUCAGUCACACUGGAACUGAGACACGGUCCAGACUCCUACGGGAGGCAGCAGUGGGGAAUAUUGGACAAUGGGCGAAAGCCUGAUCCAGCCAUGCCGCGUGUGUGAAGAAGGUCUUCGGAUUGUAAAGCACUUUAAGUUGGGAGGAAGGGCAGUAAAUUAAUACUUUGCUGUUUUGACGUUACCGACAGAAUAAGCACCGGCUAACUCUGUG
rnacentral:rRNA from 1 species